rnacentral:rRNA from 1 species
AGAGUUUGAUCCUGGCUCAGGAUAAACGCUGGCGGCGUGCCUUAUGCAUGCAAGUCGAACGGAUCACUUCGGUGACUAGUGGCAAACGGGUGAGUAACGCGUAAGCAACCUGCCCUUAAGUAGGGGAUAACUCUGAGAAAUUAGAGCUAAUACCUUAUGUGGUGAUGGAGGUAAGGCUUCAUCACUAAAGCCUUAGGGCGCUUAAGGAGGGGCUUGCGUCCGAUUAGCUAGUUGGUAGGGUAAUGGCUUACCAAGGCGACGAUCGGUAGCUGGUUUGAGAGGAUGUCCAGCCACACUGGGAUUGAGAUACGGCCCAGACUCCUACGGGAGGCAGCAGCAAGGAAUAUUGUGCAAUGGGCGAAAGCCUGACACAGCGACGCCGCGUGGGGGAUGAAGGCCCUCGGGUUGUAAACCCCUUUUCUCAGGGAAGAAUAAUGACGGUACCUGAGGAAUAAGCCUCGGCUAACUACGUGCCAGCAGCCGCGGUAAUACGUAGGAGGCAAGCGUUAUCCGGAUUUACUGGGCGUAAAGAGGGCGUAGGCGGCUUUUCAAGUCGGAUGUAAAAUCUCCCGGCUUAACUGGGAGGGAUCACCCGAUACUGUUAGGCUAGAGGACAGCAGAGGGAGGUGGAAUUCCCGGUGUAGUGGUGAAGUGCAUAGAUAUCGGGAGGAACACCAGUGGCGAAGGCGGCCUCCUGGGCUGUUUCUGACGCUGAGGCCCGAAAGCGUGGGGAGCGAACAGAAUUAGAUACUCUGGUAGUCCACGCCGUAAACGAUGGACACUAGGUAUGGGGAGUAUCGACCCUCUCCGUGCCGAAGCUAACGCAUUAAGUGUCCCGCCUGGGGAGUACGGUCGCAAGACUAAAACUCAAAGGAAUUGACGGGGGCCCGCACAAGCAGCGGAGCGUGUGGUUUAAUUCGAUGCAACGCGAAGAACCUUACCAAGGCUUGACAUGUUGGAAGUAGCAACCCGAAAGGGAAGCGACCUGUUAAGUCAGGAGCCAGCACAGGUGCUGCAUGGCUGUCGUCAGCUCGUGCCGUGAGGUGUUGGGUUAAGUCCCGCAACGAGCGCAACCCUCGUUGCCAGUUAUUUUCUCUGGCGAGACU